rnacentral:rRNA from 1 species
GACGAACGCUGGCGGCGUGCUUAACACAUGCAAGUCGAACGGAAAGGCCCCGUUUGGGGUACUCGAGUGGCGUACGGGUGGGUAACACGUGCGUAACCUGCCCUUGACUUCCGGAUAACUUUAGUAAACUGGGGCUAAUUCCGGACAGGAAUCAUUUCUUGCUGGUGGGGGUUGGAAAGCUUCGGUGGUUUUGGAGGGACUUACGGGCUAUCAGCUUGUUGGUUGGGUAGUGGGUUACCGAGGCUGUGGCGGGGAGCCGGCCUGGGGGGGCGACCGGCCACAGUGGGACUGGGAUGCGGCCCAGGCCCCGACGGGGGGGAGAAGGGGGGAAGGUUGACCAAGGGGCGGGAGCCGGAUGCAGAAACGCCGCGGGCGGGAAGACGGGCUUCGGGUUGGAAACCGAAUUCAGCAGGGGCGGAGCUGGUAGUGACGGUACCGGCAGAAGAAGCACCGGCUAACUACGUG